UCCCUCGAGGGGGCUGGGCAGCGAGGGGGCAUGGUGAGCGCGAGGCCCCGCCUUUCCAUUGUAGGCGGCGGGGCCAGGUGCAGGCCCACGUGAGCAGCCGGCCCACGGGCUCUAGGGCCCGGGCGCGCAGGCGCACAGCAGGGCUAGGGCGAGGUCGGAGGCGGCAAAGGGGUGAAGGCGGAGGAGGUAGUGCCUGGGAACAGGCAACCUGUGUCUGGCGCGGUGCCCUGCAGCUGGUGGCGGGUGGGGCCGGCGGGCGGGCUACCGCUUUCCCGUGUCGACGGAGGCUGCUGACGGGAAAACGAUCCGGGAGGGAGCGCCUCGGCCCAGGUUCCUUCCCCUGCAAACCUGCGAGAUUUCAGGGCCGAGUAAGCCAAGCAGAAGAUCUGGGCAGUGUUAACAAACGGACGUUGAGAUUCGCAGAGGUCAGCCUUCGAGGCCUCUGUCUGCCCGCCACCGGCUCUGUGACGUCUGGCGUGUCACAGCCUGGCCUCAGUUUCCCCACCCUUCUAGAGGGCUUGCAGCUUGCGAGUGGCCCCGAAGAAAAGAGUUAACGUCACAAAUACUACCGGCCUAGUCUUCCCCAAACAGGUGGACAGGUGGAGGCCCUAGCACCUUAUCGGCAGGAUUGCACCUGGCGUAGUGAGGCGUUGGCCUGGAGAGGAAGGUAUACGAUACAGUCAGCCCUUCAGUCUUUGCAUGUGGAUCCUGUGGCUAUGGAACCUGAGUAAACGGAGGGCCGAUUGGACUCCUUACGUAAAGGACGUGAGCACCCGCGAAUUUUGCUAUCCAGGGGGGUCCCCGUGGAUAUCGAAGGGUAGCAAGAUGCAGGUCCCCCAGGGAACGUGCAGGAGUGGGAGCCUUACCAUGUGCUACAGUGCUCGUGACAGUCUGCUUGGCAGUCACUUACAGAGAAGAAUGAACGGCUGGCUACUGUAUGAACCCUCCCCCACAUCUGUUCAGGUAGUUCUCCGUUAUCAUUAAUCAGGCCACUCUGUACCACGUGCCCCAAUCCUGGCGAUACACCUUCGUUCUCCAUUUCAUGAGAGUCCUUCAGUACAAAGGGAGGAACAGGAUUUCCUGGUCAAGAUGUUUACCAAUUACCACCUUAAAGGUUCUCCCUCACUGCCCUCCUCCAAUAACAAUGCAAAGCAGAGCUGGGGCCCCGUCCAAGCCUUAAACCACAGGAAACAAGGUAUCCAAGUGCUCUCGAUGGUGUGUGCCGGUAGCUCUUCUGCCCCGACAUAGGUUCAACUGAAGAGGCUGUUCUAAGAAAGACAACUGAGAUCAUCAGUCACCUCCUCAGAGAAAGUCCACUGAGGUAGAGUUUUGUUUACCCUGUAAACAACGCAACAUUUACUGUUGAAUCCCUUAUUCUUUUACAGUCAGACUAGAGAAAUGCAAUUUUUUUUUUUUUUUUUUUUGGUGGGGGCAUGAGGGUCAAAGAAGGGGUCAUGGUCGAGAAGAUGGGUCCUGGGAAGAUGGACCUGUAAGCCAUAGAAUCCCCUUGGGGAAGACUCAGGAAGGCAAAGACUGUCCUUUCAACUCAAGUGUCAAAUGCGUUUCCACUUAUCUUACCAAGCAAGACGACAAACAGGAUUUUCGCAGAGUGCCUGGCGAUGCUUAGGUGACAGGAGUGACUGAGGGGCAGGCCUGGAGACAGAUCCUUGGCUGCCCCAUGUAUCCAAACCUCCCCAUGUAUCCAAACCCCCAGAAAAUGCCUGGAAGAGAGUGGAAGGGGAGGAUUGAAGAUAAUCCUUAACUUUUCUAAAGCAGGAAUAUAUUACACUCAAUAAACUUUAAAUAUUUGCCCCUCUUGUGAGUUAGGGUGACUAUUUGCAUUGAAGAGGAAGAAAAUAAUGUUUAGAGCUCAUUUUUCUAAGAUCAUGGAAAACAAACAAACAAAACCCAGAAUCCAUUGCUUUGGGUGAAAAAACAGUGAUAGUAACUCUAAGUACGCUCACUGACUCCAAAAUUGUCAUUAUAGUAUCUAUUAUAUAUUAAAAAAAAAACUAAAUUGAAAAAAUAGAUUCCAAAGGUAAGAAGAUUGAGGGUUGGGGGCUAGAGGGAUGGACAGGUAGAGCACAGAGGACUUGGAGGACAGCGAACCUAUUCUGUUUGCUGCUGUAACAGCGGAUCCACGUCAUACAUUUGUCAAAAGCUACAGAACGUACAGCGCCAAGAGUGAAUCCUAACGUAAACUACUGUCUUUGGUUAAUAAUGACGUAUCUAGAUUAGUUUAUCAAUUGUAGUAGCUACACCACAGUAAUACAGAAGUUAGUAACGGGAACUGGCGGGUGAGGUGGGGAGAAGGGGGCAUACGGAACUCAGUCCUUUCUGCUCAGUGUUUCCUGUACAAAAUAAA